CGGUGUUUAACUGGCGUGAUGUGGGACGUCCUACCGGUGGGCUUAGCCUCGCGAGGGGCGGCCCAACUAAUAUCCCGUCGCGGUGCUCUUUACUGAGUGUCGAGUCGGGCCGGUACGUUUACUUUGAACAAAUUAGAGUGCUUAAAGCAGGCUAUCCUCGCCUGAAUACUGCGUGCAUGGAAUAAUGGAAUAGGACCUCGGUUCUAUUUUGUUGGUUUUCGGAACCCCGAGGUAAUGAUUAAUAGGGACAGAUGGGGGCAUUCGUAUUGCGACGUUAGAGGUGAAAUUCUUGGAUCGUCGCAAGACGGACAGAAGCGAAAGCAUUUGCCAAAAAUGUUUUCAUUAAUCAAGAACGAAAGUUAGAGGUUCGAAGGCGAUCAGAUACCGCCCUAGUUCUAACCAUAAACGAUGCCAGCUAGCGAUCCGCCGAAGUUCCUCCGAUGACUCGGCGGGCAGCUUCCGGGAAACCAAAGCUUUUGGGUUCCGGGGGAAGUAUGGUUGCAAAGCUGAAACUUAAAGGAAUUGACGGAAGGGCACCACCAGGAGUGGGAGCCUGCGGGCUUAAUUUGACUCAACACGGGAAACCUCACCAGGCCCAGACACCGGAAGGAUUGACAGAUUGAUAGCUCUUUCUUGAUUCGGUGGGUGGUGGUGCAUGGCCGUUCUUAGUUGGUGGAGCGAUUUGUCUGGUUAAUUCCGAUAACGAACGAGACUCUAGCCUGCUAAAUAGGCGUACCUUAUGGUAUCGCGAAGGCCCCCGGCUUCGGCCGGUGGGUUUUUACUACCAACGUACAAACAAAUCUUCUUAGAGGGCACAGGCGG
rnacentral:rRNA from 1 species